UCUAUAUGACAUACCACCUUGAGAACGUCUGAUAUCGUCGGUUCCUCGGAAGCUAAGCAGGAUUGGGGCUGGAAGUACUUUGAUGGAAGAUCACUGGGAAUAGAAGGUGACACAAUGGAA
rnacentral:rRNA from 1 species